rnacentral:rRNA from 1 species
GAAUUUUGGACAAUGGGGCCACCCCUAUCCCGCCCUCCCCCCUGUUCCAUUAAAGCCCUUCGGGUUUUAAGUUCCUUUUGGCGGGGAGGAAAUGCCCCUGCCUAUCCCCUGAGCUUCCGACGGGUCCUUCCGAAUAAGCCCCCGCUGACUUCGUGCCCGGAGCCGCGGUAAUACGUAGGGUGCAAGCGUUAAUCGGAAUUACUGGGCGUAAAGCGUGCGCAGGCGGUUCGGCAAGAAGGAUGUGAAAUCCCAGGGCUUAACCUUGGAACUGCAUUCUUAACUGCCGGGCUAGAGUAUGUCAGAGGGGGGUAGAAUUCCGCGUGUAGCAGUGAAAUGCGUAGAGAUGCGGAGGAAUACCGAUGGCGAAGGCAGCCCCCUGGGAUAAUACUGACGCUCAUGCACGAAAGCGUGGGGAGCAAAC